rfam:Eubacterium sp. CAG:192 genomic scaffold, scf292
UUAUUACAGUGUACCAAAACAUAAGCGUACUUGUGCUUGCACAAAAGUACGCUUAUGUUUUGAGGACACGCCCGCAUAAUGAGCAUAAAAGCACAGCGAAGUUGUGCGAUAUGCGAAUUAUGUGGUGAAAUUGCGGGAGUGCAAAGCACGUAGCAAUUUCGUAAUAA